AUGAACAGCAUAUUGUUUUUUUGUUUUGUUUUUCUACAGCUCGCCAUAAGGUACAUUCCAGCCUUUUGUCUGCACUACUUUGCACAUGAUGUGCAGAAAGUGUGUGCGUGCUCCUUGCAGAUGUAUUUUUUUGAACCAAUGGAGUGUGCGUCUCCAUUUGGAUGUCCUUCACAACAGUUGCAGCAGCCGUUGAUGCUAUUGGAAGGCACCGUCUUCUCUCGAUGUGAGGUUUCACUAGCUCGUAACCCAGCAGCUCCAGGAAAAUUCUCCUUCGACUCAGUUUUCCGCUGUUCCAGUCCUUGUUUAUUUCACUCCAUAACACAAAGGCAUUGUAGGCGCUCACAUCAAUGAUGCUGAAAAAAAUGACAAGGGGCCAACUGGCAGUCAUGCGUCGGCAGCUGUAGGUGGCUGUAACCUUGUCCAAAUUAUCAACCCCUCCCUUUGUCUUAUUGUAAUCCAGCACCAUUUGGGGUUUUCGGUCUUCUCUGGUGCUAGUACUUACCUGGCUUUAUUUGGCCCAACAACCAUAAAUAGAACAGGACUUUACACUUCAUGCCGAUUUACUGGAGUGUGAACAUACUCCUUAUCAUUACUCAAUUUCUUUCUUCCAUUGCUUCUUGCUCUUUGUAUUGCAUACUGAGAAACACACUUAUAUAGGGCAGGGGACAGUAGGUGGGGACCAAGGGGGCAAAAGAAAGAUGCUGAGUGCUUGUGAAAAGGGGGUGUACAAACAUUAUAUCUACUUUUCAAUGCAGUCAUUCAGUUUAAUCACUAAGAGGGAGAAAGAGAGUUAAAUGAAAGUUAAAUGGUGUUAAGAGGGUAACACAGGCUAAGAUAGAGAGAGAGAGAGAGAGAGAGAGAGAGAGGGAGAGAGAUCUUCAAAGACACUUUUAGGACAGUGGUCAUUUAAAAUUCAAUCUGGCCUCUAUCCAAUGUUCUGGACUACUUUACAUUCAUGCUGUAUAGUGACCCAAAUCAAACUGGGGUUCACCAGCAAUCUUGGGCCUCAGUUAGUAUAAAUGUAAAAUAACUGUACUUCUAUUUGGAGGAAACGAAGGAGACACUCAAUUUCACCUUCAAUUUCAUCUGGUUCUGUCACAUGUGGUGAAACAUUAACUUAAUGAAGAGUUUUAGAAGCUUGUGCAAUACAAUAUUUAUAGCUCUGACCACACAGUAACCAGCUUUAUUAGAGGACCAUUUGGAGUUAACCCUCAGUACCGUCGCAAGGGCUGUGCCAAGUGUGUGACCGCACAGGGCCUCGCUCCUGGCCUGCAUUUUAUUCAAGAUUCAAGAUUCAAGAUUUUUAUUUGUCAAAUACAUGGUUAUAUGGAGAGCAUAUGACCAGCAGUGAAAUGUAAGUCAAGUCCGCUCCAUGGACAGUGCAAUUAUUAAAGAAUACAAACACAAGAAAAUUAUAAAAAAAAAAUAUGAUAUGGAAAAAGUAAGAUAAAAAAAUAAGAAUAAAAUAAAAUGCUUAUAAAAUAAAAUGUGGAGGACAGUAUACUGUAGACUUAAUAAAUAUUAAGAUUAGCAGGAAUGUACAAGAGGAGAAUGUGCAAACAGUUUGUACAGGGUAUUUAAAUAGCAGCAAUAGAGGUAAAAAAGUAAAUAAAUUAAAAUAAAAAUUAUAGAAAUUGCUGUGUGCAAGUGUCAAUGUCAGUAUAUUCAGUAUCUUACUGAUAAUUGAAGUCAUGUAGAGGUUAAGAGACUGAGUUUGAGUUUAGGAGCCUGAUGGCCUGGGGGAAGAAGCUCCUCCUAAGUCUCUCAGUUUUAGCCAUCAGGAUACGCAAACGCUUACCAGAUGGCAGCAAAAUGAAAAGAGAGUUACCAGGGUGAUUUGUGUCCUUAAUGAUUUUAACAGCUCUGCUUUUGCAGCGUUUGAGGUAGAUGUCCUGCAGAGAGGGGAGAGCAGACCCUGAGAUGCGCUCAGCUAAGCGCACUACUCUCUGCAGGGCUUUGCAGUCUUGACUGGAGCUGUUCCCAUACCACACUGAGAUACACUGAGUCAAUACACUUUCUAUGGCCCCUGAAUAGAAAGUUUUCAGGAUUGCUGGUGAGACCCUGACUUUUCUCAGCUGUCGCAGAUGGUACAGUCUUUGCCUGGCUUUCUUAACCUGAGUUUGAAUGUGGGUAGUCCAAGUCAGGUCCUCUGAGAUGUUUACACCGAGGUACUUGAAGCUGCUCACCCUCUCCACAGGGGUCCUGCUGAUCAUAAGAGGAGUAUAGGGCCGCUGCUGUCUCUUCCUGAAGUCAACAAUCAGCUCUUUAGUUUUAGUCACAUUCAAAGAGAGACAAUUGUCCUGGCAACAUGAUGUGAGUUUCUCUACCUCAUCCAAGUAUGCAGCUUCAUUGUUGUUGGAAAUUAGGCCCAGAACCACAGUAUCAUCAGCAAAUUUGAUAAUACCACAUCUAUCUCUAGCUGUGGGAAGACAUGCAGUCAUGUGUGUAGAGAGAGUAGAGCAGGGGACUCAGGACACAGCCCUGUGGAGCUCCCACGUUCAGGGUGAUGGAGUUGGAGGUGUACUGGCCUACUUUCACCACUUGAGGUCUGCCGGUGAGGAAAUCAAGAAUCCAGUCGCAGAGUGAAGAAUUCAGGCCAAGGUCCAUGAGUUUAGAAGCUAGCUUGAUGGGGACUAUAGUAUUGAAAGCUGAGCUAUAGUCGAUGAAUAGCAGCCUUACAUAGUUCCCAUUGCUGCUGUCAAUGUGCGUGAGAGAAGAGUGCAAGAUGUGAGAGAUGGCAUCUUCAGUGGAUCUAUUGGGGUGAUAGGCAAACUGAAGAGGGUGCAAAGUAUCAGGGAUGGAGAAGGACAUGUUGUUCUUUAUAAGUUUCUCAAAGAACUUCAUGACUGUUGACGUGAGGGUAACCGGACGAUAGUCAUUCAGAUUUUUUGAAGGAGGUGGGAACCACCAAGGUAGCAAGGGACUCA
ensembl:lncRNA